rnacentral:rRNA from 1 species
GGUUAAGCGACUAAGCGUACACGGUGGAUGCCCUGGCAGUCAGAGGCGAUGAAGGGCGUGCUAAUCUGCGAUAAGCGCCGGUAAGGUGAUAUGAACCGUUAUAACCGGCGAUACCCGAAUGGGGAAACCCAGUGUGAUUCGUCACACUAUCAUUACGUGAAUACAUAGCGUAAUGAAGCGAACCGGGGGAACUGAAACAUCUAAGUACCCCGAGGAAAAGAAAUCAACCGAGAUUCCCCCAGUAGCGGCGAGCGAACGGGGAGGAGCCCAGAGCCUGAAUCAGCAUGUGUGUUAGUGGAAGCGUCUGGAAAGGCGCGCGAUACAGGGUGACAGCCCCGUACACAAAAGCGCAUGUGCUGUGAGCUCGAUGAGUAGGGCGGGACACGUGGUAUCCUGUCUGAAUAUGGGGGGACCAUCCUCCAAGGCUAAAUACUCCUGACUGACCGAUAGUGAACCAGUACCGUGAGGGAAAGGCGAAAAGAACCCCGGCGAGGGGAGUGAAAAAGAACCUGAAACCGUGUACGUACAAGCAGUGGGAGCCCCACCACUAAGCCAGUGGUGAACUCCACAUACGCAUCCUUUGCUGAGGAUACGGUUAACGGAGCGAAAGCGACGUUCAACCGCAAAAGAAGCAGAGGGGGCUUAGUGGUGGGGUGACUGCGUACCUUUUGUAUAAUGGGUCAGCGACUUAUAUUCUGUAGCAAGGUUAACCGUAUAGGGGAGCCGGAGGGAAACCGAGUCUUAAUUGGGCGUUAAGUUGCAGGGUAUAGACCCGAAACCCGGUGAUCUAGCCAUGGGCAGGUUGAAGGUUGGGUAACACUAACUGGAGGACCGAACCGACUAAUGUUGAAAAAUUAGCGGAUGACCUGUGGCUGGGGGUGAAAGGCCAAUCAAACCGGGAGAUAGCUGGUUCUCCCCGAAAGCUAUUUAGGUAGCGCCUCGUGAAUUCAUCUCCGGGGGUAGAGCACUGUUUCGGCUAGGGGGCCAUCCCGGCUUACCAACCCGAUGCAAACUGCGAAUACCGGAGAAUGUUAUCACGGGAGACACACGGCGGGUGCUAACGUCCGUCGUGAAGAGGGAAACAACCCAGACCGCCAGCUAAGGUCCCAAAGUCAUGGUUAAGUGGGAAACGAUGUGGGAAGGCCCAGACAGCCAGGAUGUUGGCUUAGAAGCAGCCAUCAUUUAAAGAAAGCGUAAUAGCUCACUGGUCGAGUCGGCCUGCGCGGAAGAUGUAACGGGGCUAAACCAUGCACCGAAGCUGCGGCAGCGAACGUAUCACUUAAAGCGAUUCAGCGGGUUACGAUUGACGGAGCGAAGCGACGUCAAAGCGUAUACAAAGUCGAGUCGGUUUAAGGAUACGUUCGUUGGGUAGGGGAGCGUUCUGUAAGCCUGUGAAGGUGGCCUGUGAGGGUUGCUGGAGGUAUCAGAAGUGCGAAUGCUGACAUAAGUAACGAUAAAGCGGGUGAAAAGCCCGCUCGCCGGAAGACCAAGGGUUCCUGUCCAACGUUAAUCGGGGCAGGGUGAGUCGACCCCUAAGGCGAGGCCGAAAGGCGUAGUCGAUGGGAAACGGGUUAAUAUUCCCGUACUUGGUGUUACUGCGAAGGGGGGACGGAGAAGGCUAUGUUGGCCGGGCGACGGUUGUCCCGGUUUAAGCGUGUAGGUGUGUGUUCCAGGUAAAUCCGGUUCACUUUAACACUGAGGCGUGAUGACGAGGCACUACGGUGCUGAAGCAACAAAUGCCCUGCUUCCAGGAAAAGCCUCUAAGCAUCAGGUAACAUCAAAUCGUACCCCAAACCGACACAGGUGGUCAGGUAGAGAAUACCAAGGCGCUUGAGAGAACUCGGGUGAAGGAACUAGGCAAAAUGGUGCCGUAACUUCGGGAGAAGGCACGCUGACACGUAGGUGAAGUGAUUUACUCAUGGAGCUGAAGUCAGUCGAAGAUACCAGCUGGCUGCAACUGUUUAUUAAAAACACAGCACUGUGCAAACACGAAAGUGGACGUAUACGGUGUGACGCCUGCCCGGUGCCGGAAGGUUAAUUGAUGGGGUCAGCGCAAGCGAAGCUCCUGAUCGAAGCCCCGGUAAACGGCGGCCGUAACUAUAACGGUCCUAAGGUAGCGAAAUUCCUUGUCGGGUAAGUUCCGACCUGCACGAAUGGCGUAAUGAUGGCCAGGCUGUCUCCACCCGAGACUCAGUGAAAUUGAACUCGCUGUGAAGAUGCAGUGUACCCGCGGCAAGACGGAAAGACCCCGUGAACCUUUACUAUAGCUUGACACUGAACAUUGAGCCUUGAUGUGUAGGAUAGGUGGGAGGCUUUGAAGUGUGGACGCCAGUCUGCAUGGAGCCGACCUUGAAAUACCACCCUUUAAUGUUUGAUGUUCUAACGUGGACCCGUAAUCCGGGUUGCGGACAGUGUCUGGUGGGUAGUUUGACUGGGGCGGUCUCCUCCUAAAGAGUAACGGAGGAGCACGAAGGUUGGCUAAUCCUGGUCGGACAUCAGGAGGUUAGUGCAAUGGCAUAAGCCAGCUUGACUGCGAGCGUGACGGCGCGAGCAGGUGCGAAAGCAGGUCAUAGUGAUCCGGUGGUUCUGAAUGGAAGGGCCAUCGCUCAACGGAUAAAAGGUACUCCGGGGAUAACAGGCUGAUACCGCCCAAGAGUUCAUAUCGACGGCGGUGUUUGGCACCUCGAUGUCGGCUCAUCACAUCCUGGGGCUGAAGUAGGUCCCAAGGGUAUGGCUGUUCGCCAUUUAAAGUGGUACGCGAGCUGGGUUUAGAACGUCGUGAGACAGUUCGGUCCCUAUCUGCCGUGGGCGCUGGAGAACUGAGGGGGGCUGCUCCUAGUACGAGAGGACCGGAGUGGACGCAUCACUGGUGUUCGGGUUGUCAUGCCAAUGGCACUGCCCGGUAGCUAAAUGCGGAAGAGAUAAGUGCUGAAAGCAUCUAAGCACGAAACUUGCCCCGAGAUGAGUUCUCCCUGAGACUUAGAGUCUCCUGAAGGAACGUUGAAGACGACGACGUUGAUAGGCCGGGUGUGUAAGCGCAGCGAUGCGUUGAGCUAACCGGUACUAAUGAACCGUGAGGCUUAACCUU